CCCACUUGGUAUUGGAACAAAUGCGCAGGGUCAGAAGAAACGAGCCGAGAAUCUCGUAAAGGACACGGGCGUGGCACGAAGCCUGGUGGUUCUGAAACGGAGCACAAGAAACAACGUAGACCAAGUAGACCAAUCAAACAAAAGCUCACCUCUGUAGGGAAACAGCGACCAACACAUGGUUCCGAAGAAAACGAGGCGGGCACUAGCAGUGAAAGCGAGAAAGGACAUGGCGGCACCCAACGGCCGACGAAGUCUGGUGGACAGCACCACCCAAAACGUAGACCAACAAAACCAACGAAGGGGAGACCCGGAGGUGGAACAAAACAUUGGGCACCUUCGUCACCAAGUCAUAGCGUGAAAGGAAGCUGCGGAGCACGACCAAGGAGAGGAAAGUGCGAAGAAAAUAGCGGCAUGUGGUACAACGACGGCGAUUUCUACACUUGCUCUCGUGUGCGUGAAGGGAUCUGUCCAACUGUCGGUUCGUUCUUCGAAAGCUGUGAAGACUGCAUGCGAAAAUGUCGAAGGCACAUGCUCAAAACGUGCGCGUACAAGACUUGAACGUGAAACCUGGCCCAGAUUUCUGCAUUCUCCGGAAAGUAGUUUGAAAUAGUGAUUACCAAUAAAACAUAUCACAAGAA